rnacentral:rRNA from 1 species
UACGUAGGGGCCGAGCGUUGUCCGGAGUUAUUGGGCGUAAAGCGCGCGCAGGCGGCCUCGCGCGCCCGACGUGAAAGCCCCCGGCUUAACCGGGGAGGGUCGUUGGGGACGGCGGGGCUUGAGGGCGGGAGAGGGUGGUGGAAUUCCCGGUGUAGUGGUGAAAUGCGUAGAGAUCGGGAGGAACACCCGUGGCGAAGGCGGCAUCCUGGACCGGCAUUGACGCUGAGGAGCGAAAGCCAGGGGAGCAAACGGG